AUUUAUUUAAUGUAUAUUCAUGGGAUGGGAUCCGAAGCCCCUCGAGAGAUAAUACAGGCUCUCCCAUCCAACUCCUAUUACGAUAGGUCCUCGUCGUGCAGAGUCCGAAAGAGGAUUCCGAAACGGAAAAUCAACCACUGAUCAGAUCUUCACCAUGCGGCAGAUCUUCGAGAAGAUGGCUAAAUACAGGC
rnacentral:ribozyme from 1 species